GCCAUUUGUCAGCAUUCUGAUUUCAUUCAGCACAAUGGAGACUUUAGUGGGACUGUUGCUUUUGCUUCUCACUUAUUCAGCCUCAGCAGCUCCGUCUGUCAGUGCUACAGCCGUCAGUGCUACAGCCGUCAUUACUUCUGCUGUCAGUGCUUCUGCUGUCAAGGCUCCAGCUGUCAAGGCUCCAGCUGUCAGGGCUCUAACCAUCAAUACUUCAGCGGUGGAUGGAAAUACAAGUUCUCAAGCUAACACACGCCUUGCCAUCAUUGCUGGCACUGCCAUUGCUGCCGUUGUGGUCGUGAUAAUCUUCUAUGUAAUUGCCCGGAGAUGUGGUGCAACGAACGAGCAAAUCUUUGAAUCUUGUGGCAAACCCUUUUUUAAGCUCGCAAUGGCAUGCUCUGAGCUGCUUCAAAAAACGGAAUAAAAGGGUUUGAUUUUUUGUCUUUUGGAUACUAAAGAUUUUUCAUUCAUACUGUUUUUAAUAGCUUUUAGCACACUUGUUAUAUCUGUCUUUCUUAUAUCUCUUUUGAAAAAAAAAUCUGUAUGCUUGAAUGUUGUAGUCAAUCGAUUUUCUGUUUAUGCUUAAAAAAAUGUUCUGUUUAAAGAUAUUUAUGAAAUUGGGUGGUAUGUAUAACCUGCUUUUCUAUAACUAAUGAGCAC
ensembl:lncRNA